rnacentral:rRNA from 1 species
UACGGAGGGUGCAAGCGUUGCCCGGAAUCACUGGGCGUAAAGGGCGCGUAGGCGGCUCAUGAAGGCUGUGGUGAAAGUCCGGGGCUCAACCUCGGAUCGGCCGUGGCGACUCGUGGGCUGGAGCACUGUAGAGGCGGGUGGAAUUCCGGGUGUAGCGGUGGAAUGCGUAGAGAUCCGGAAGAACACCAGUGGCGAAGGCGGCCCGCUGGGCAGUGGCUGACGCUGAGGCGCGACAGCGUGGGGAGCAAACAGG